UUCAACCUGCUGUGGGCAGAUCCAGUGGAUAUGUGUAUCGAUACCACCGGCUGUUACGAUAAGACCUUCACCAGCAAGUGCUUCUGUACCAGGUCCAACGAUCAUGUUUUCAUCAACACCAUCCAUUGUUCCAGGGUUACCUGACUUACCGAUACCAGCGAUCUUUCCGUCCUUGAUACCGAUAUCUGCCUUAUAAAUUCCUGUUACGUCAAGAAUUAAGCAGUUUGUGAUUACAAGGUCAAGUGCAGCGUCAGCUGUUGUGAUAGGUGACUGUCCCAUACCAUCACG
rnacentral:sRNA from 1 species